GUUUGGUUAUUUGGGGUGCUGAUUCAGAAAACUACAUUGGACAGACCACAUCAGCUCUAGUUUCUGAUACAAAACAUAUGUCAUCCAGUAGUUGCCAUGUGCUUGCCUACAAAAAAACAUAUUUAAUAAUCGAGAGCUAAUAUGGUCUAUCCAAUACAAUUUUCUGGAUCAGCACCCCAAACAACCCCAGGAACAUGCCUAAAAAUGAAGACGCCAAGGCGCCACAUAGAAGGGCUCUGCUCAGGGCGAGGGAGGAGGAGAAGCAGCAGUCAGGAGGCUUGCUGUUGCGCUUUUUGUGGGUAGUCAGCCUCUCCCCUCUUGACAUCUCUGUUGCUCUGGCACUAUAACAAGGUUUCAUGAAACCAGUCGCUCUCAUUGUAAAGGUGUAGUAAUGGCGAGGCCACGAACAACAUUUUAGUUCUUGGGGGACCACUGGUGGUCCAUGGUCUACAGAUUGGGAACCACUGUUCUAGGGUGACCUUGUUGCUCACAAAGGUGCUAACCCAUACAGUAGGCACGUCAAUUUUGCCUUUUCUCUCAUCACAAGAUUGCAGUGGGACUAGUUUUAGAAAGGACUGGUUUUAUAGGUGUAAAGACGCUGUGCCUCAGCUUGGAUCAAAAACAACAGGAUUAUGCCCAUGUAGAUUUCAUGUUUCUUAGGAAUGUGAGACAUAGGAAACUGGUAACUUGUCUUUUGAUAUUGGCGUAAGAAUCCAGGGGAUUGUAUUAUAUUAUUACCAGCAAAACAACCAUACUGUAUCUAUAAAGCAAUCAAAGUAAUCUUGGGACUAAGUGAUGGACCUACUGGACACAUUUGAGAGCAGGCAGUUCUUAUGUGUCCUGUUGAUAACCAUGUGAGAGAUAUAGAACUGGACUGGUUCUUAAUCUGCUACUCAAAUCCACAAUAACCUCAACAUUGUUUUCUUAAAUCACAACUACAGGUCCACAAUGCAGUUCUACUCAUUCACCAUCUUUGGUCUACUGCUUAGUUCACUUAUAUCCACUACCCUCCAAAGCAAUGACACCACAACAACGGUAAUGUCUACUCCUGGCCCUGACAGCAAUACCACCCUGCCACUGCUCUUGAACCACACUAGGUCGACUCCUGGACUGGCCAGAGAAGCCACCACAGGAUUGGUCAAUGAGAACAUCACAUCUCCAACACAUUCCACUGUGGAAUUGGCCAUCAAUGUCACGUCUACAGCAGUUGCUGUCACCAACUUCACUACACCACCAACGGACACCACCAACAACAACACUACGUCUCUUUCCAGCACCUUCAAAUCUCCGCCCGAGAAUGCUACCACACCACUAGCCAACAAUACCACUACGUUGGUAGAAAACAAAACCACCAUAUCAACUUCCACCUUGAUAAACACCAUAUCACCAAUUGGCAAUACUACAAUAUCAUCCAACAGUACUAUGUCUCUAUCCAGCACCAUCAAAUCUCCAUCCAUGAAUGCUACCACACCACUAGUCAACAAUACCACUACUUCGCUAGAAAACAACACCACCAAAUCAACUUCUACCCUGACAGAUACAUCACCGAGCAGUAAAACUACAAUAUCAUCCAACAACACUACGUCUCAUUCCAGCACCAUCAGAUCUCCAUCCAUGAAUGCUACUACACCACUAGCCAACAAUACCACCACGUCUCUAGAAAACACCACCACCAAACCAACUUCUGCCCUGAUUGACACAUCACCGAGCAGUAAAACUACAAUAUCAUCCAACAUCACUACGUCUCAUUCCAGCACCAUCAGAUCUUCAUCCAUGAAUGCUACUACACCACUAGCCAACAAUACCACAACGGAACACAAAACCACCCAGUCUACUUCAACCCUGAUGGACACCACGUCACCAAUCAGUAAAACUACAACAACAUCCAACCAAGAGACGUAUUCCACCAUGUCUACUACUCGCUUAGACAGCAGCACUACAGCGGCAAAUACUACAACAGCGAAAACCACCACGGGCGGAAGCACUGCUGUAUCGGCACCUUCAUUUCUUGUACUUGCACUGUUUGCUCUCGCAGGACUUUGGAUGUAAGAACGCUUUUGCUAUUUGCCUGCUGCCCUUCUAGAAGAAGGCAGUGGGCUUUCUCUUCACUCUCGGCCACUCUUUAAUCAGUUCUUUAAUCAGUUUGACUACAUUUUUACUAUCAGUCUUUCAACGGAACAAUAAUCUGAAUUCACAUCCAAAUCAGAAAGCAAACGAGCACCACAUUCAAAUCCAAACAUUACAGAGGAGAUGGAUUAUUUAAAUAGCUGGAGGACAGCCACAGUUUUCAACCUAUCCAAUGAUCCUUCCUAAAAAGUAAAUUGUGUCUUAUUUCUAGAUGAAUCAGAGACUAUUAAUGAGCAAUUCGUCCUCUUAAACCUACACAUGUUACUUGGGGAGGAGAGGGAAUGGAGGCAUAUUUAAAACUAUAUCUAUCAAUAUAAUAAAAGUCAGUGUUUGUAUGUGUGAAUGUGGCAGCUUUCGGAUUGGCUGCCACUUCCACAUGCCACUGCGACCCCAACACAAAUGACGGAUCUGGACCGAACUUGGAACACAGGACCCCCGUGACCCACUUUAGGUAUUGGUGCCGUCUGGGGGAGGAUGGACCAUGGAUGAUGGGAUUUGCAGUACCUUCAUUCACUUCCAGAGACCACUGCGACACCCACCAAUGACAGAUCAGGACCACACUUGGCACACAGGACCCCCGUGACCCACUUUACGUAUUGGUGCUGUCUGGGGGAGGAUGGACCAUGGAUGAUGGGAUUUGCAGUACCUUCAUUCACUUCUGGAGACCACUGCGACACCCACCAAUGACAGAUCAGGACCAAACUUGGCACACAGGACCCCCGUGACCCACUUUACGUAUUGGUGCUGUCUGGGGGAGGAUGGACCAUGGAUGAUGGGAUUUGCAGUACCUUCAUUUACUUCUGGAGACCACUGCGACACCCACCAAUGACAGAUCAGGACCAAACUUGGCACACAGGACCCCCGUGACCCACUUUACGUAUUGGUGCUGUCUGGGGGAGGAUGGACCAUGGAUGAUGGGAUUUGCAGUACCUUCAUUCACUUCCAGAGACCACUGCGACACCCACCAAUGACAGAUCAGGACCACACUUGGCACACAGGACCCCCGUGACCCACUUUACGUAUUGGUGCUGUCUGGGGGAGGAUGGACCAUGGAUGAUGGGAUUUGCAGUACCUUCAUUCACUUCCGGAGACCACUGCGACACCCACCAAUGACAGAUCAGGACCACACUUGGCACACAGGACCUCCGUGACCCACUUUACGUAUUGGUGCUGUCUGGGGGAGGAUGGACCAUGGAUGAUGGGAUUUUCAGUACCUUCAUUCACUUCCGGAGACCACUGCGACCCCCACCAAUGACAGAUCAGGACCACACUUGGCAAACAGAGCCCCCAUGACCCACAGGCAUCACUGGGUCCACAAGCUAGCGCAUAUAUAUAAGGCAACCAGCACAAUGACCCUUCCCUUUGACAGAAUGGUCCUUCGCAAAGCGGCCAGUACGAGUAGGACCAGGCAGGUGCAGUUAUUGAUAGCGAAAGGGUUCCAUACACUGGGGAUGAAUGGGAGGCUUUCUGUGCUUGUUAUACCUUUUGGCGUGUUUGCUUAGUUAACAGGAACAACACGGCACCAUUCAGGGGAAAUAAAAACACCGUGGAGGACUCUGUUUGCUCGCUGAGCAAAGUGUGUACUUUUGUGUUACGGACUAAGCUUCUAUAUUGCAAGUCUGAAUCCAAUUGUUAUUCUCAAGCAGAGCAGAUCUACUGCAUUAAAGGGAUUUACCUAUGUAAAGAUGCCAUUAAGCCAGUGGGGGAGUAUUUCUCAUGGGGCUAAGGAGGAUGUAGGACCAAGUGCCUACGGGCAAGACAAAUAUUGGGUUGCUGUGAGUUUUCCGGGCUGUAUGGCCAUGUUCCAGAAGCAUUCACUCCUGACGUUUUGCCCACCUCUAUGGCAGAAGUUCUAAGGUCUGUUGGAAACUAGGCAAGUGAGGUUUAUAUACCUAUGGAAUAAUGUCCAGGGUGGGAGAAAGAACUCUCCUCUGUUGGAGGCAAGUGUGAAUGUUGCAACUGGCCACCUUGAUUAGCACUGAAUAGCCUUGCAGCUUCAAAGCCUGGCUGCUUCCUGCUUUGGAGAAUCCUCUGUUGGGUGGCCCUGAUUGUUUCUUGUCUGGAAUUCCCCUGUCUUCUGAGUGUUGUUCUUUAUUUACUGUCCUGAUCAGGGCCAGUUAACACCGACCAACAAAGGAUUCCCUACAGGCAGGGAGCAGCCAGGCUUUGAAGUUGCAAUAACAACAACAACAACAACAAUAACAACAACAACAACUUUAUUUUUGUAUCCUGUCCCAUCUCCCCGAGGGGACUCAGGGCGGCUCACAUGGAGACCAACCCCAAUAAUAUACAACAAAAUACAACAAUAUAAAAUGCAUUUAAAUCACAACAAAGUAAUACAGUAGAGUCUCACUUAUCCAAGCCUCGCUUAUCCAAGUUUCUGGAUUAUCCAAGCCAUUUUUGUAGUCAAUGUUUUCAAUAUAUCGUGAUAUUUUGGUGCUAAAUUCAUAAAUACAGUAAUUACAACAUAACAUUGCUGCAUAUUGAACUUCUUUUUCUGUAAAAUUUGUUGUAUAACAUGAUGUUUUGGUGCGUAAUUUGUAAAAUCAUAACCUAAUUUGAUGUUUAAUAGGCUUUUCCUUAAUCCCUCCUUAUUAUCCAAGAUAUUCACUUAUCCAAGCUUCUGCCGGCCCGUUUAGCUUGGAUAAGUGAGACUCUACUGUACAUCAGAACUAUAAAAAAACAACAUCACAAAAUAAAAACAUAGCCAAUGACCAUUCAAUGCUAAUCAAGGUGGCCAAUUGCAACAUUCACACUUGCCUCAGGCAGACAAGAGUUCUUUCUUCCACCCUGGAUAUUAUUCCACAGAUAUAUAAACUCCACUUGCCUAGCUUCCAACAGACCUCACAACCUCUAUGCCUGCCACAGAUGGCGGUGAAACAUCAGGAGAGAAUGCUUCUAGAAUAUGGUCAUACAGUCCAGAAAACUCACAACAACACAGUGAUUCCCACCAUGAUAGCCUUUGACAACACAAAGACACAUAUAAUACUUUGCAAGCAAUGGAACACACAAGGGAUAAUAAUAACAAUUAUUAUUAUUAUUAUUAUUAUUUAUUUUUCUAUGCCGCCUCCAUCUCUCUGGCUAACAGGGGGCCAACCCCAAAAAACAACCAGUAAACAAAUAAAAUGCAUAUAUAAACAACAUCAUCAAAACAGGUAAAAUAGACAAAUUAAAGCCACAAAAUACAAUAUACUACAAUUAAAAAAAAUACAGAAAUGAUAAAACUAAAAAUCACCACUGAAUGGCAGAAUAGAUAGAUAAAAUGGAUAGCCAACUUGUGACCAACCAGAUGCUAUUAUGCUACAAUUCCCACCAUCCUUGAUGCUGGUCAGAGUGGAUGGUAGUUGUAGUCCAGACCUGCAGAACAGCAAUAUUUGGGGGGAUUCAAGUUGCUAAUCCUGGCAUGUAUGCUUGAGACAGUCCACAUGGAAAAUGCUCAGGGAUUUUAAUACUGCAAUAUAGAAGGCUCUUGUUUACUUACUCUACCCUUGAGAAAAGCAUGAGGUAGAACUCAGCUUUGAGGAAUAUUAAUAUUAAGAAUUAAUAUUAAAAUUAUUAAUAAAUAAAAUAAAUAAAUAUAGUCUUCCAAGAACAAUCCAAGCUAAGUGGGAUGUAGUUAAAAGAACACAGCAACUGAGAUAACUGACAUGUAAACGUUGACCGUUUAGUUUCAGUUCCAAGUAAACAUCCAUCAUUCCCAGGUUGAACUUGAGUUAAUCCAACUCAGCAGACCAGAGCAUGAUAACAUUAUGAGAAAAUGCUCCGUUUGUGAGCCAGCACAUUGAGAGCCAGCAUCUCAACAAUGACAGGAAGUUCCAAAAAGCAGUGGCCAUAGCGCCGAUAAAACAGAAAUAAACAAGCCUUCCACAGACACCACAAGCGAAAGUGGCACGUAGGCCUUAAGAUAGCAAGCUGGGAAACUAUAACACCCACAGGAAGGCCUGGGAGGCCAAAAUAGAACUUAAUUGUUACAUGCAAAGCACUGCUUUACACCUCCAAACCUCAGGCGCGCUAUUCUUAGAUGCCAACGGCAGCGGAAUGGACAUCCAGAGCAGUGUGGUCACAACGGUAGGUGCAAAGACACACUGCAGCUCUUUCAUCCACAUCGGAAAGCGUAUUUUCCUUUACAGGAAACAGAGAGCCAAUUCAUGCACAUUUUAAUCUAUAUAUAUAAAAGGGUAAUGAAAUUUCGGCCUAGGACAAAACAACAAAACUACCCAUCCCAGAAACACCAAACUUGGCAGCACAACCCCUCAUCCAUGCCUCUACGUUCAUACAACAAAAAGAAAAGAAAAAUAAAGUCCUAAUUAGAGGGAGAAGAAUAAUUGUUUUUAUCCAAUUGCUGCCAGUUAGAAGGCUAAGCUCCGCCCACUUGGUCUCCUAGCAACCCACUCAGCCCAGGGGACAGGCAGAGUUAGGCCUCACUUAGGCCUCUUCCACACUGCCUAUAAAAUACAGAUUAUCUGAUUUUAACUUGAUUAUAUGGCAUUGUAGACUCAAGGCCCUUUCACACAGCUAUAUAACCCAUUUAUAAUCUUAUAUUAUCUGCUUUGAACUUGAUUAUUUUGACUGCCAUAUAAUCCACUUCAGUGUGCAUUUUAUACAACUGUGUAGAAGGGGCCUCAUAUAAUCCAGUUCUAAGCAGAUAAAAUAAAAUAAUAAAUAUACAGUACAGUCUCACUUAUCCAACAUAAAUAGGCCGGCAGAAUGUUGGAUAAGUGAAUAUGUUGGAUAACAAGAAGGGAUUCAAGAAAAGCCGAUUAAACAUCAAAUUAGGUAAUCAUUAUACAAACUAAGCAUUAAAACAUCAUGUUAUACAACAAAUUUGACAGAAAAAGUAGUUUCAUGUGCUGUAAUACUAUGUACUAAUUACUGUAUUACAAAUUUACCACCAAAAUAUCACAAUGAAUUUAAAACACUGACUAUAAAACAUUUACAGUAGAGUCUCGCUUAUCCAACGUAAACAGGCCGACAGAACGUUGGAUAAGCGAAUAAGUUGGAUAAUAAGGAGGGAUUAAGGAAAAGCCUAUUAAACAUCAAAUUAGGUUAUGAUUUUACAAAUUAAGCACAAGAACAUCAUGUUAUACAACAAAUUUUACAAGAAAAGUAGUUCAAUACACAGUAAUGCUAUGUAGUAAUUACUGUAUUUACGAAUUUGGCACUAAAAUAUCAUGAUAUAUUGAAAAUAUUGACUACAAAAAUGCGUUGGAUAAUCCAGAACGUUGGAUAAGCGAGUGUUGGAUAAGUGAGACUCUACUGUACUACUAAAAGGCAGACUGUGUUAGAUAAUCCAGAACAUUGGAUAAGCGAAUGUUGGAUAAGUGAAAUUCUACUGUAAUAUAUACCACCAUACUUUGCCACAGCAACACGUGGCCGGACACAGCUAGUGGACAUAUAAAGUGAUUUCAAAUCUAUAAUGUAUUAUUUGGAAAUGUAAAGUCUGAACGUAUGAGAGUAAACGUCUUGUUUGCAAAUGUUUGCAUCAUGAAUUUUUGCAUGUUGUGUUAAUUUAAUGUUGCAUGAGAAGAGGAGCCAUAUUUCAACCCAGGAAAAACAGAAGCCAGUCCCUUCCUUCUAAGGAAGAGAUGGCCUUCUGGACCUUUUGGACUACAACUCCCAUAACCCCCAGGGCCUUCAAUUGCAACCUUAAUAUGCAGUUCUCCCUCAGCUUUCACACUUCCUCUAUUGAUGGGCUUCUAGUUCAAGGUUCAACAGUAUUUUGGUUUUAAGACAACUCCCUAAUUUGCAGAUUCCCGCAAAAUACCGCUCCAUUUUCGCACUACUUGUGUUACAGGAUACCAAAGAAUCGAAGGCAUUAGGUGGAAGAUCACUAGAGUUGUUUAGUUUCAAAAUCCUCCAAAUUAAGUAACGACUGAUCGCUGCCAUUGAAAUAUAGAGGGAUAUUUUAACUCAAAGCUCUCUCUAGUGGCCAUUAGUGAUGUGUGCGGUAUUUGUUUCAUCUGUUUCAUUCGUCUAUUCGUUUAGUAUGGUCCAUCCAGAUGCAUGUCAGGAGGAUAUGCUUUUGGAACACGGCCAGACAGCCAGGAAAACUCACAGCAACCCAGUUAUCCAGCCUUGAAAGCCUUCAACAACACACUUUGCAAUAGCUUUUCAAUGAAUCUCUCAACGUGUCUCAAACAAUUCAACAUGAUUUGUGGCAGCCACCAAAAUGAAAUUUCUGGAGUCUAACAACUACAGUAGAGUCUCACUUGUCCACAUAAACGGGCUGGCAGAACUUUAGAUAAGAGAAAAUGUUGUAUAAUAAGGAAGGAUUAAGGAAAAGCCUAUUAAACAUCAAAUUAUAUUAUGAUUUUACAUAUUAAGGACCAAAACAUCAUGUUUUAGGACAAAUUGACAGAAAAAGCAGUUCAAUACAUGAUAACGUUAUGUAGUAAUUACUGUAUUUAUGAUUUUAGCACCAAAACAGCAAUAUAUUGAAAACAUUGACUACAAAAACAUCUAUAUAUAUAAAAGGAGAAUGGCAUCGCUCCACCGGGCAAAACAACAAAACUAAAGGCCCCCCAACCUAGAAAAUUGACAACACAACCCCUCAUCCACGUCUCUACGUUCUUACAAACAAACUACACAUCCCUAACCUCAAUGGGGCCAAAAAAACCCCAAAAACCGGAAUGCACCCUUUUGUGACCCACCUUGAUUGACACUAAACAGCCUUGCAGCUUCAAAGCCAGGCUGCCUCCUAGGCCACACAAAACAACAACAACAACAACAAAAACACCACUUCAGUGUGAAUUUUAAACCAUUGUGUAGAAGGGGCCUCAUAUAAUCCUGUUCCAGGCAAAUCAUAUAACAUUAGUAAUAUAAUGUAUAAUAAUUACUGUGCUCUAAUAACAAUACACAACAAUAUAAUUUCUAAAAUCAGGACACUAAAUAAACAACAACACUCAGAACACAGGGGAAUUCCACACAGGAAACAACCAGGCCCAGCUAACACCUCCCAACAAAGGAUUCCCUCACGCAGGAAGCAGCCAGGCUUGGAAGCUACAAGACCAUUCAAUGCUAAACAACUUAAAUAAUCACACCGAGCUAACACAUCCCAGUAAAGGAUUCUUCCAACUACUAACCAGGCAGACCUUGAAGCUGCAGGCCUAUUCAAUGCUAAUCAAGGAGAUCCAUGGCAACACCUGCCUCAAUCAGACAACAGUUCUUUUUACCACACUGCACAUUAUUCCACACAUAUAUCAAUCCCUUUCUGGCCCACCUUGAUUAACACUGAACAGCCUUGCAACUUCAAAGCCAGACUUUGGAAACCACGAGGCUACUCCAUCUCAUUCAACCUGGCCCAGCAAGCAGACCCUAUGUAGAAAACGGCCAGGCUUUCAAACAGCGAGGCUAUUCACUGCAAUUCCAAUUGGCCACAGCAACGCGUGGCAGGGCACAGCUAGUUGACUAUUAAAAGGCUGACUGCAUUGGAUAAUACAGAACGUUGGAUAAGUGGAGGUUGGAUCAGCAAGACUCUGCUGUACUUUCAAAUGAAGUACCUCACAAUGAAAGAGGAAUAACACUUUCAAACCAGGAGCAGAUUUCUUUUUUCCAAAGUGUGUUACAAUUUCUUGAAAACAGUUCUCCCAAGAUCCUGAGAUGAAGAGCACUUUCCCAGUUCACACCGAUGAAAUCCCUAGGUUUUUCCUCUUGAUUUGGCAUAAUUUUGUACUGUAAACUUUUGCGAAACGGCUCUAUUUACUGUGUCAACAAAGGAAACAGCUUAGAGAUGGGGCUUACGGUUGAGUAGGGGUUGCUUUACAGGAAGGGGAAACUUAAGGAUUUGAUUCCAAGAAAUGAAAACGAAAGGUAGCAUCAUGUUACAAAUUACUGGUAGAUUUCCAGGAGUACCAAAAAAGAGAUUAGCUAACUUUGCUACUGACGCUUUUGAAAAAUAAUCAAUCAGUUUCUCCCCCUCGAAGGAGAAACCGCAAACUACAAAAGAAAACUCGUGGUUCUGUUUGGGAUCUAAUUUGGAUAGAAUUACCGGACUAUUGUGGCCCUUUGAGGAGCAAAUACCAUCCUCAAUGGCAAACACACCAUUCCUAAGAAACAAAGUUGUAUGUCGCACGGUUGCCAUUGCCAUGCUGAGAAAGAAAAAAAAAGAGGCGAAGAGGGGCAAGGUUAGAUCAACAGUCUGCUUGAUCCAAAUCCAGCAUCCAACUUCUCGUUUUGGAUAAGGAGGACGUCAAAAAGAACACAGAACCUCUACAAUCUCCAAAAAUUGGUUUUGAGGAAUCUAUAUAUAUAAAAGGGUAAUGAAAUUUCAGCCUAGGACAAAACAACAAAACUACACAUCCCAGAAACACUAAACUUGGCAGCACAACCCGUCAUCCAUGCCUCUAUGUUCAUACAACAAAAAGAAAAAUAAAGUUCUAAUUAGAGGGAGAGGAAUAAUUGUUUUUAUCCAAUUGCUGCCAGUUAGAAGGCUAAGCUCCGCCCACUUGGUCUCCUAGCAACCCACUCAGCCCAGGGGACAAGCAGAGUUAGGCCUCAUUUAGGCCUCUUCCACACUGCCUAUAAAAUACAGAUUAUCUGAUUUGAACUGGAUUAUAUGGCAGUGUAGACUCAAGGCCCUUCCACACAGCUAUAUAACCCAUUUAUAAUGGACUUAAUGUAAGGUAAAACCUUUACCCUUUACCUUAACUACCACCAAUUCCUCAAUACUUUAUUUCCCAUACCACCAUACUUCGCUACAGCAAUGCGUGGCCGGGCACAGCUAGUAUAUCUAUAUAUAUAAAAAUGUAAUGUGCAUAAUUCCCAUGGAGUAAACAAAGCCACUGAACCAAAUCACAGCAAAUUUGGCCACAAAAGACAUAGUCAUCCUAUCUAUGUCUUUCAAUCAAAAAAACCUAGAAAAUAGUCCAAAGAGGAUGAGGAAGAGCCGUUCUCCCCCUGGCUGCCAGUCAGAAAGGUAGGAUUACCUAAUUCUUUUUUAGUUUACAUUCCUCACUUUACGCACUUUCAUUGGCCCAGACAUUUUAUGAGCUCGCUCAGGUUUUUGAACUGCUAGGUUGGCAGAGCCUCCAGUGGCUCAGUGUGUUAAAGCACUGAGCUGCUGAACUUGCAGACCAAAAGGUCCCAAGGUUCAAAUUUGGGGAGCGGAGUGAGCGCCCGCUGUUAGCUCCAGCUUCUGCCAACCUAGUAAGUAAGUAAGUAAAUAAAAGUUUAUUUGUAUACUGCCCUCUCUCCCGAAAGGGAAUCAGGGCGGUUUCCAAUAUAAAAUCAGCAUAAAACAUUGUACAAUAAAACACUGAAAACACUAUAAAACGCUAUAAGAAUUAAAAACAAAACAUAACAAUUGACUAAAACAAUCACAUAAACAGAAGGAAUAUAAUCACUCAAAUAACAUAUGAAUCUGAAAAGAAAAAAGAAAAAAGACCACUGGGAUGGAGGAGAGGAUGGCCUGGAGGGACCACUAGAACUAAAAUACAAUGUUAUAUUCUAAGAUGCUUUGGGGCAGAGGAAUAUAGUGAACCUAGAAGUUCAAAAACAUGCCAAUGUGAGUAGAUCAAUAGGUACCGCUCCGGCAGGAAGGUAACGGCGCUCCAUGCAGUCAUGCAGGCCACAUGACCUUGGAGGUGUCUACGGACAACGCCGGCUCUUGGCUUAGAAAUGGAGAUGAGCACCAACCCCCAGAGUCGGACACGACUGGACUUAAUGUCAGGGGAAACUUUACCUUUUAGGUUGGCAGAAGCUGGGGCUAACGACGGAAGCUCACCCCACUCCCCAGAUUCAAACCGCCAACCUUUUGUUCAGCAAGUUCAGCAGCUCAGUGGUUUAUUGUGUAGCAUUAGCACUACCCAAAAAACUUUGAUACGGAAUGUGGAACUUGUUACUCUGCUGAGGUCAAUGGACUCUUUGUAGUCUCCAUCACCUAAUCAUCUAAGGUCCACAUCAGACAACGGAUCCUGGACACAGAGCGACAAUCUGAUUUAACUUGCUCUCCAGUCUUUAACAUUAGUGCAGACAACAGAUAUACUAUCACUCCCAUGGCUUAUUUAACAAACCUGGAGGUGCCUAAUCAUCGUAAAGCCUUCACUCUUGCAAGAUGUCACGCCCUCCCAUCAGCAGUACUGGAGGGGAGGUACCGGAAGACCCCUGCUCCGGAGAGACUAUGUCCUUGUGAGUCUGGCCAUAUCGAAACUACCAAGCACGUGCUCCUCCAGUGUAUGUUUUAUAGAGACAUUAGAAUCAAUUUCAUCACUCCUUGGCUUUUAAAACAUCCAGGCCGCACUGAAAGAUACUACACCUCUCUGCUGCUCUCGGACUCCUGUUCUGCAAUAACCUAUAGUGUCGCCAGGUUCUAUGCGGCAGCAAUUUCCAUCAGACGGACGAUGACUGACCCCACAGGGCCUGUAGCCAGAGCAAUGUGUUAUAACUGAAAUACUGCAAAUGCUCCCUCUAUCCCCCUCCAGAGCCACUUAGUGGAUCGAUAUUUACUAUUAGCUGAUCCUGCUAAUAGUCUGCUUUUAAUUUGUUUUUAUUAUAGCAUGUUUUUAACUUGUUUUUUUAUCUGACUUUUAUGGGAACUGCGAUUCCCCUUUUCGGGCACCUGUGCUCAUUUCUAUAUAUUCUGGUCAUAGACCGUAAUAAAUUGCUGAACUGAACACUGACCAUAUUGUUGAUGGAAAUUAUAGACCAACAUCUAUAUGGGGGCUAUGGGUUCCCAUUUCUGGUCUUGUGCGAAAACAUGGCCCAUGUUCUGACCGUGUUCCGUGAAACUAUUUAUUCGUCAAAUUUAAAAAAAAAAUGCUAAUCUUCCCUCUUGUCGUCAUAAAAAAAUUAAUACAAAUUUACUUCCUCCAGCAAACUGUGGGGCAAAAUCGUUUUGUGUUUGUCCUUGUUGCCCUGGAAAAAGGUAACACUGAGAUAUGUGCGUGGCGCAGGAACCAAUCAGAUGGAGGCCUGCCAUUGCACAACCGUCCCUCAAAUUAUAUUUAAAUGGAAGAAUUGAGCAGACGGAUUAUCAGCCUCGCACAGGAGAACGUCCUAGAAGCGCCUGAGUUUAACUGACAUCAUAAGCAUCUGGCACUGAAAACAGGAUGAAGAAGCUGGUCAAAUGGCUAUGGCCUGCCCUGGUGGUUGCGAUAUUGUGUGAAGUCCACUUGGCAGCGUCACAAGAUGCUGGCACCCCUAACGUAACUACACCAGCAACGUUUUCGACAAUGACUACAACAAAGACAACGACAAAGGCUACGACAAAGGCUCCGUCAGUGAUGACUCCGGCAAUGCCUUCAGCAAAGGCUUCCACAAAGGCUGCUACUGUGACUGCCACCUCCAAGGAGAAAGCUACUAAUGGAGUAGCCGCAGUUGCAAAUACCACAACCCACAACCACGCCACCUCUUUACACGGCAAUAUCUCUGUCAUUAUACUCCCGCUUCUCUUCCCUUUUUUACACUUCAUGCCUUCUCUUUAUUUCUGAAUGUAAUGCCUCGGCAGCCUUGAUUAUGGCAUGAGUUUUAAUUUAAUUUGAACCUCUUUGAUAGUUUGUUUUCUAAUGCGUUUUAGCAAAUCCACUUUCCAAUACAACUUGUCUUUUUGUGGCCUUAAGUUUCUCAGAAGACAAAUCGAGAUACGCAAGCAAAUCACAACCCUUCUUUGACUCUGCGGUGCAAACCGAUUCUCAAUAAUCAUGAAAUAUUCUCAACAUACUUAAAGACAUACAGUAGAGUCUCACUUAUCCAAGGUUCUGGAUUAUCCAAGGCAUUUUUAUAGUCAAUAAAAAUAUCGUGAUAUUUUGGUUCUAAAUUCGUAAAUACAGUAAUUACAACAUAACAUUACUGUGCAUUGAACUACUUUUUCUGUUGUAUAACAUGAUGCUUUGGUGCUUAAUUUGUAAAAUCAUAACCUAAUUUGAUGUUUAAUAGGCUUUUCCUUAAUCCCUCAUUAUCCAAGAUAUUCGCUUAUCCAAGGUUCUGCUGGCCCGUUUAGCUUGGAUAAGUGAGACUCUACUGUAUAAGAGACAUUUUCUUUUACUAGACAGAAGAAAUGGAGGCUGACUUUAUCGUAUCUGGACUACAGAAAGAAAAACAUUUCUCGACAUCCCAAUAGUGCAAACUCAACAUCCAUUGUGGAAAGGAAAGCCGAUUAUGUUCCAUUCUUGGCAUAUCAUAUAAAGCAUGAGGUGUAAAUAAAUUUUAAUCUAAUUAUGAAAA